UACGUAGGUGGCAAGCGUUUGUCCGGAUUUACUGGGCGUAAAGAGCGCGCAGGCGGUUGUGCAAGUCGCGUGUGAAAGCCCCCGGCUCAACUGGGGAGGGUCACGCGAUACUGAUCGACUCGAAGGCAGGAGAGGGUAGUGGAAUUCCCGGUGUAGUGGUGAAAUGCGUAGAUAUCGGGAGGAACACCAGUGGCGAAGGCGACUACCUGGCCUGUUUCUUGACGCUGAGGCGCGAAAGCUAGGGGAGCAAACGGG
rnacentral:rRNA from 1 species